UACGAAGGGGGCUAGCGUUGUUCGGAAUUACUGGGCGUAAAGCGUGCGCAGGCGGCUUCUCAAGUCAGGGGUGAAAGCCCAGAGCUCAACUCUGGAAUUGCCUUUGAGACUGAGAGGCUUGAGUACGGGAGAGGUGAGUGGAACUGCGAGUGUAGAGGUGAAAUUCGUAGAUAUUCGCAAGAACACCAGUGGCGAAGGCGGCUCACUGGCCCGAUACUGACGCUGAGGUGCGAAAGCGUGGGGAGCAAACAGG
rnacentral:rRNA from 1 species